rnacentral:lncRNA from 1 species
ACCACUUAUAAUCCUUUAGCUACACUUUACCUAUCUGUCAUACUUAUCGUUUCUUGAUCCAGUACUAUACUUUCCAAAUUAACCACCUCUUUGAGGUAUCUUUCAAUGUGAGCCUCUAUUGCAGCUAUUGGCUUUGAUAUUGGCUCAGUCAUGGAUAUUGACUUAUUCUUUACGACUUAAGGUUAUCCUAAUUCUAUUCCUUUCUAACACCUACACACAAAAUUAUCUUGACUAGCAAAUAAUAAAUACACACAACACAUAAUAGUUUUAUAAGUUAUCUUUUAUUUUGUUCGACGAUGAAUUUAUUCAAUUCAUCUCCUUUUUAAACUCUACAUGAGUUAUUUAUAUUUUCAACGUUUCCCUUUGUUCUAAGGUUAUAGCCUAAGAUCUAACCCACCUAAGGUUUCUAAACCUAUAGCUCUGAUACCAUGAUGUAGAGUCCCCGAAUCCGGAUACUUGAAACCCAAACUCGGUACUUUAC